rnacentral:siRNA from 1 species
CAUAUUCAAGGUUCGCAAUGG